UUCAGAGGUCCCAAGCGUUACUGAGAAUCACUGGGUUUAAAGGGUGCGUAGGUGGUCCGUUAAGUCGAUUCUGAAAUCCCUGGGCUCAACCCAGGAACGGCUCUCGAUACUGGCGGACUUGAGGCCGGUAGGGGUCACUGGAACUGACGGUGGAGCGGUGAAAUGCGUAGAUAUCGUCAGGAACGCCGGUGGUGAAGACGGGUGACUGGGCCGGUUCUGACACUGAGGCACGAAAGCGUGGGGAGCGAACGGG
rnacentral:rRNA from 1 species